rnacentral:lncRNA from 1 species
AGACAAUUGACCCAAACAGCCAAACCGAACUCGAAACUUCACUAACGAGGCAGCUUAUUUUCUAAUCCCAGUCAGCAUUGUAGGGCACCGAGCGACUUCUUGGCAGAUACUGCAUCUUCAGCCAGGAGAAGUUGGCUUAGUACAAAAGGGCUUUUGAAGCGAUUUUUGAGAUUGUUGACUAUUAUGUAACAGAUGGCCCAACAGACCUCCGACUCUUUUGCGGUGUUGGCCAGCUUGGCUCAGGAAAAUAGCAGCACUGGAAUGCCUUUUCUGACCCAAAGUGGGGACAACCAUGCAUGAGAUCACUCCAGAAUUAUCUUGGGAACGGAGUUCCUGCCAUCUCCUAAAGCUCCCCAGCCUGCUUCUCACCCAGUCAGUCUGAGGAUUUGAAUGACAUUGAAGCCUUCAGCACUCCCUACCUGCAAUGGCUUGUCUGCAAACAUUUGCCAACUGGCUGAAUUUUUCCUUAGCCUCCAGUGCUGUGUGGACUCCUCAAUUGAUAAUUCAGUGAGAUGGCAGAUUUCCUCAGAAGCAGAAGAAACCAAGAGUUGUACCACCAUAUCAAAGAUCUUCAACCAACAGCAGGGCCAAAGGCCAAGCUUGGAUUGAAAUGGCAAAACUGACUGCCUAAGUCUUUAUAUCAUAAAGGGCAGUGGUUGGCUUCGAGGUAAAAGACAAGAAAUGGUGGCUUCAUAUAUGUGCAUAAAUAUAUGUGAAUUGAAGACUCUAUCCCAAUUUAUUUACCUUUCCAAUUAAUAUCUAUUAAAUGUUUCAUAUAUGCCA